CCUACGGGAGGCAGCAGUAGGGAAUCUUCCACAAUGGGCGAAAGCCUGAUGGAGCAACGCCGCGUGGGUGAAGAAGGUCUUCGGAGCGUAAAACCCUGUUGUUAGAGAAGAAAGUGCGUGAGAGUAAAUGUUCACGUUUCGACGGUAUCUAACCAGAAAGCCACGGCUAACUACGUGCCAGCAGCCGCGGUAAUACGUAGGUGGCAAGCGUUAUCCGGAUUUAUUGGGCGUAAAGGGAACGCAGGCGGUCUUUUAAGUCUGAUGUGAAAGCCCUCGGCUUAACCGGAGUAGUGCAUUGGAAACUGGGGGACUUGAGUGCAGAAGAGGAGAGUGGAACUCCAGGUGUAGCGGUGAAAUGCGUAGAUAUAAGGAAGAACACCAGUGGCGAAAGCGGCUUUCUGGUCUGUAACUGACGCUGAGGUUCGAAAGCGUGGGUAGCAAACAGGAUUAGAUACCCCAGUAGUC
rnacentral:rRNA from 1 species